rnacentral:rRNA from 1 species
AGAGUUUGAUCCUGGCUCAGGAUGAACGCUAGCUACUGGCUUAACACAUGCAAGUCGAGGGGCAGCAGGAUCUAGCAAUAGAUUGCUGGCGACCGGCGCACGGGUGAGUAACACGUAUCCAACCUGCCGAUAACUCGGGGAUAGCCUUUCGAAAGAAAGAUUAAUACCCGAUGGCAUAAUUAGACCGCAUGGUUUGAUUAUUAAAGAAUUUCGGUUAUCGAUGGGGAUGCGUUCCAUUAGGCAGUUGGUGAGGUAACGGCUCACCAAACCUUCGAUGGAUAGGGGUUCUGAGAGGAAGGUCCCCCACAUUGGAACUGAGACACGGUCCAAACUCCUACGGGAGGCAGCAGUGAGGAAUAUUGGUCAAUGGGCGCAGGCCUGAACCAGCCAAGUAGCGUGAAGGAUGACUGCCCUAUGGGUUGUAAACUUCUUUUAUAUGGGAAUAAAGUUUUCCACGUGUGGAAUUUUGUAUGUACCAUAUGAAUAAGGAUCGGCUAACUCCGUGCCAGCAGCCGCGGUAAUACGGAGGAUCCGAGCGUUAUCCGGAUUUAUUGGGUUUAAAGGGAGCGUAGGUGGACAGUUAAGUCAGUUGUGAAAGUUUGCGGCUCAACCGUAAAAUUGCAGUUGAUACUGGCUGUCUUGAGUACAGUAGAGGUGGGCGGAAUUCGUGGUGUAGCGGUGAAAUGCUUAGAUAUCACGAAGAACUCCGAUUGCGAAGGCAGCUCACUGGACUGCAACUGACACUGAUGCUCGAAAGUGUGGGUAUCAAACAGGAUUAGAUACCCUGGUAGUCCACACAGUAAACGAUGAAUACUCGCUGUUUGCGAUAUACAGUAAGCGGCCAAGCGAAAGCAUUAAGUAUUCCACCUGGGGAGUACGCCGGCAACGGUGAAACUCAAAGGAAUUGACGGGGGCCCGCACAAGCGGAGGAACAUGUGGUUUAAUUCGAUGAUACGCGAGGAACCUUACCCGGGCUUAAAUUGCAAAUGAAUAAUCUGGAAACAGGUUAGCCGCAAGGCAUUUGUGAAGGUGCUGCAUGGUUGUCGUCAGCUCGUGCCGUGAGGUGUCGGCUUAAGUGCCAUAACGAGCGCAACCCUUAUCUUUAGUUACUAACAGGUCAUGCUGAGGACUCUAGAGAGACUGCCGUCGUAAGAUGUGAGGAAGGUGGGGAUGACGUCAAAUCAG